AUCUCUCAUGAAUGAAGUAGAUUCUUAUGUUGCUUCCGCUUUGGGUUUUGUAUGAGAUGUAAAACUAAUUUUACAAACAGUAAAGUCAUCAACAGGGUGGUACUCCCUUGACAUAUUACAAACAUACCCUCCAUCUGAAGAGUUUUCAAACCUAACCUCAUAUGCAAUACACUUCUUUGUUCUAGAAUUCAAGGUUAUAUGUUAUCUCUCAUGAAUAAAAUAGAUCCUUGUGUUGCUUUUGUUGCAUAUUUUGUAUGAGAUGCAAAACCAGUUUUUCCAACACUGCUUUGUGUGAGGUCUGUUUUGGGCAAGGUUUUUGAGUUUCCUUUGUGGGACCUCUUUUCCUUGUUUCCUAUGUUUUGCAGUAAUGAAAUUUUCCAAAACUAUCUUGCUGAAUGCAAUCUACAAUGUUUGAAAAACUUAAAACGUGCAAGUCCAAGUGGAAAUCACGAACAAAUAACAAACACACUCACAAAGAAGCCUAUUAGACAUUUUCUCAAACACUUCGUACGCACUUAGUAAUGUACUUGAAAUUUCAUAUCAUAGCCACUUCAUACACUUUAAAAAUCAUGGUAUUCAUUUAAAGUUACAAUAGCUGUUUCUAAGCAUAUUUCUUAUUCAUAUAUGUGUAAGUCAGAUUCACACCUUUGGAUAAUUGGGAAAUUAUAAUCAUUCGUAAUGUUUGUUAUCUUGUAGUUUCUUUGAUAUUUGGAUGUAAUCAAAUUGGGGCAAUUUCAAUUCAAAAGGCAAGAAAGUACGGUUUGGAUUUUUAAAAUAUUCAAAAAUUGUGCAUCCAUGUAUUGGCUGUAUGUAUAACUAUAUAAUCUUCAUUGGCCUUUUUGAGCUUUGAACUCUGGAUAUGGGCGUGCUAGUGAGGGUCUCACAUGGGUUCUGAUACAUUUUUUUUUUCUUUAUUGUAUACUUUAAGCUAUUCUCAACACUUUAUUUAUUUUUUCCUGCACUAAAGUAUGUGUAAUAUUUUCUUUUGGUCCAAUGAAAUCUAGCCCAAAUGACACCUCCUCCCCUUGUAAGAUCAUGAUUCAUGAAGGAGGUACUAGGUCAUGGAUUAAUAGAAGCUGCUCAACCUGAUUCAAAUGAGCCUUCACAACCCAUUGCUGCCACUGCACAUGUUGAUAUAUGAGUUCAUGAGUAAUGGGAGCUUGGCAAACCUUCUAUAUUAGUUAUUUGUGGAUGAGUCUAGCAGCAGCAGGAGCAGAGAAGAAGCAUUCAAUUGCUUCACUGCUACUGCUUUGUUUUUUGGGGUCAGGGCAAUUAAGUGGGCAGUAAAGAAGCUGAAAGCUAGUUAGGAAAGUAUGCAAUAUUGCAGGAGAGGACGCAUAUAAACAUUUGUCAAUGUUUGUAUUUUGUUGCAUGUCUUGUUCAUUGUUUAGUGCUAUGGGAUGUUUGGAUAUUUUGUUGCUUGCUUUUUUUUUUUUUUUUUUUCGUUUAGUGCUAUGGGAUGUUUGGAACCGUGUGCUUCUAGUGCCAUGGGAUGAGAAUAGGUAGAUCUUUUAGAUAAGAAUCUUUAUGACUUUGAGAUUAUUAUGAUGUAAAAUAUCUUUCAAAAUUAAAGUUUUCAUAAUUAGCCUUCCUCCAGUAGAC